rnacentral:rRNA from 1 species
UCUAGCGAGACUGCCAGUGAUAAACUGGAGGAAGGUGGGGAUGACGUCAAAUCAUCAUGCCCCUUAUGACCUGGGCUACAAACGUGAUACAAUGGCUGAAACAAAGGGCAGCGAAGGAGCGAUCUGGAGCGAAACCCAAAAAAGCAGUCUCAGUUCGGAUUGAAGUCUGCAACUCGACUUCAUGAAGUCAGAAUCGCUAGUAAUCGCGGAUCAGCAUGCCGCGGUGAAUACGUUCCCGGGCCUU